rnacentral:rRNA from 1 species
UGGGGAAUAUUGGGCAAUGGGGGGAAGCCCUGACCCAGCAACGCCGCGUGAAGGAAGAAGGCUUCGGGUUGUAAACUUCUUUUAUCCAGGGAGCGAAGGACGUGACGGUACCUGGAGAAAAAGCAACGGCUAACUACGUGCCAGCAGCCGCGGUAAUACGUAGGUUGCAAGCGUUGUCCGGAUUUACUGGGUGUAAAGGGCGUGUAGGCGGAGAAGCAAGUUGGGAGUGAAAUCCAUGGGCUCAACCCAUGAACUGCUCUCAAAACUGUUUCCCCUUGAGUAUCGGAGAGGCAAGCGGAAUUCCUAGUGUAGCGGUGAAAUGCGUAGAUAUUAGGAGGAACACCAGUGGCGAAGGCGGCUUGCUGGACGACAACUGACGCUGAGGCGCGAAAGCGUGGGGAGCAAACAGGAUUAGAUACC